rnacentral:lncRNA from 1 species
UGAGAUUGUGUAACAAGAAAUGAAUUAGAGAAAGCACACGCCAAUGUCGCAAUGCACUAUGCACAUGCAUGAUUUCCUCAUUAAUUAUUCACAUUCAAUUAUGCAUGCCUUCGUUUUUUUUUUUUUUUUUUGGUGAAAGAGCAUGCCUUUGUUUUUGUUAACACAUGAAAGAAAGAGAGAUAAGAGAGUCCAUGAUUGAUGCUUAAAAGUAAGAAAAAACAUGGAUAGUGAUUCCCAUGAUGGUAAAAGACAACAAGAGAGAGAGAGAGAGAGAGAUGAUGACGAUGAUGAUCAUAAUGAUGAUGAUGAAUGAGCGUGCUUAUUGAGUUGGCAUUAAACCCUAAAGUUUUAAUGGGGUUGAAGUUGAGUGUGCAUCGUGAGUUGGCAAUGCACGUGCAUGCAGACAGCUUCUCAUAGACACAUGCACAAGGAGAAGAGAGAGAGAGAGAGAGAGAGAGAGAGAGAGAGAGAGUAAGAAAAAAGAAAUAUAUAAAAAGAAAAAAAGAAAAUAAAUAAUAUACCCAUAGAGAUUAAAAGGAAUGCCUUGUUGGAUGGCAUAAUGAGGGAAGGUUGCAGCGGCAGUUGAAGGAAAAGUUGUCCCUCGAAAAAAGAAAUCUAUAAAAAGAAAAAAAGAAAAUAAAUAAUAUACCCAUAGAGAUUAAAAGGAAUGCCUUGUUGGAUGGCAUAAUGAGGGAAGGUUGCAGCGGCAGUUGAAGGAAAAGUUGUCCCUCCAAAUCCACCGUUCUGAAAAGUACUCAUUAACCUCAAGUUGUUUCUUCCUCCUCCUCCUCC